rnacentral:rRNA from 1 species
AGACCCGAAACCCGGUGAUCUAGCCAUGGGCAGGUUGAAGGUUGGGUAACACUAACUGGAGGACCGAACCGACUAAUGUUGAAAAAUUAGCGGAUGACCUGUGGCUGGGGGUGAAAGGCCAAUCAAACCGGGAGAUAGCUGGUUCUCCCCGAAAGCUAUUUAGGUAGCGCCUCGUGAAUUCAUCUCCGGGGGUAGAGCACUGUUUCGGCUAGGGGGCCAUCCCGGCUUACCAACCCGAUGCAAACUGCGAAUACCGGAGAAUGUUAUCACGGGAGACACACGGCGGGUGCUAACGUCCGUCGUGAAGAGGGAAACAACCCAGACCGCCAGCUAAGGUCCCAAAGUCAUGGUUAAGUGGGAAACGAUGUGGGAAGGCCCAGACAGCCAGGAUGUUGGCUUAGAAGCAGCCAUCAUUUAAAGAAAGCGUAAUAGCUCACUGGUCGAGUCGGCCUGCGCGGAAGAUGUAACGGGGCUAAACCAUGCACCGAAGCUGCGGCAGCGAACGUAUCACUUAAAGCGAUUCAGCGGGUUACGAUUGACGGAGCGAAGCGACGUCAAAGCGUAUACAAAGUCGAGUCGGUUUAAGGAUACGUUCGUUGGGUAGGGGAGCGUUCUGUAAGCCUGUGAAGGUGGCCUGUGAGGGUUGCUGGAGGUAUCAGAAGUGCGAAUGCUGACAUAAGUAACGAUAAAGCGGGUGAAAAGCCCGCUCGCCGGAAGACCAAGGGUUCCUGUCCAACGUUAAUCGGGGCAGGGUGAGUCGACCCCUAAGGCGAGGCCGAAAGGCGUAGUCGAUGGGAAACAGGUUAAUAUUCCUGUACUUGGUGUUACUGCGAAGGGGGGACGGAGAA